GGAUGUGAGGGCGAUGUAGCUGUGACAUCUGUCAUCCCAUUGAUUGCCAAGGUUGAUUCAACUGAUCUGGCUGGCUAGGUGUGUGUCCCCUUCCUCCCUCACACUCCACGUGCAUCCCUCACAAAGCACUCAGUGAAAGAGAAUGACCACCCCUGAUAGAGGAGGACAGUCUCCUUAGUCAAGGGUUUAGGAGUAGCUGUACUCCCCUGAUAGAACCUCCAAAUAAGCUCCCAAGAGAUGAACUGAGAGUACCAUAACUCUAAGAGAGA
rnacentral:snRNA from 1 species